AGCACAAGGUGGGGUGAAUAUGUCGGAUACGAGCGCAGCUAUUGUUGCCUGCUUUGCCGGACCGGAAAGUACCUGCGGGGCAAACAUGAAAAACUAUUGCUGGGACCAGCCACGAUCACGGCGCUGUCCUAAGGGCGCGUCUACCGCCUGGGGACCGUUCCAAAUAUUGCUCGCAACUCACAGUGCAAAAUUUGAGACUGCGGCCUGUUAUCGUGCGGCUGGCGUUACCUCGGGACGACUUAAUUGUGCA
rnacentral:misc_RNA from 1 species